rnacentral:rRNA from 1 species
CCUACGGGGGGCUGCAGUGGGGAAUAUUGCACAAUGGGCGCAAGCCUGAUGCAGCCAUGCCGCGUGUGUGAAGAAGGCCUUCGGGUUGUAAAGCACUUUCAGCGGGGAGGAAGGCGGUGAGGUUAAUAACCUCAUCGAUUGACGUUACCCGCAGAAGAAGCACCGGCUAACUCCGUGCCAGCAGCCGCGGUAAUACGGAGGGUGCAAGCGUUAAUCGGAAUUACUGGGCGUAAAGCGCACGCAGGCGGUCUGUCAAGUCGGAUGUGAAAUCCCCGGGCUCAACCUGGGAACUGCAUUCGAAACUGGCAGGCUAGAGUCUUGUAGAGGGGGGUAGAAUUCCAGGUGUAGCGGUGAAAUGCGUAGAGAUCUGGAGGAAUACCGGUGGCGAAGGCGGGCCCCUGGACAAAGACUGACGCUCAGGUGCGAAAGCGUGGGGAGCAAACAGGAUUAGAUACCCGGGUAGUC